rnacentral:lncRNA from 1 species
GAUUCAUAUGCAAUUUAAAGUUUGAACAACUUUGAACUAGACUCCUCUGUAUUCAAGCACAUCUCCCUGAAACACACUCUGUAGCAUUGAUAGGUUUGCUUUGCAUCUGUGAGGUUUUUUCUCAGUCCUGGAUACUCCUGAUAGAAGUCUGUGUGAAGACAGACACAAGCUUUGGCUUUGGUUUCAGCAUCUUGAUUCCGGAAUUUGGAUUUCACAUCAACUGCACUUGUGAAGAGUUUCAAGUGCAGUGACAAAGCAAGUGGAAAUUGUUUCCUAAGCAAUUAGUUUUCUGUGUGCUUACUUCUUUGUAGUUUGC